rnacentral:rRNA from 1 species
AUUGAACGCUGGCGGCAUGCCUUACACAUGCAAGUCGAACGGCAGCACGGGUGCUUGCACCUGGUGGCGAGUGGCGAACGGGUGAGUAAUACAUCGGAACGUACCUUAUCGUGGGGGAUAACGCAGCGAAAGCUGUGCUAAUACCGCAUACGCCCUGAGGGGGAAAGCGGGGGAUCGCAAGACCUCGCGCGAUUAGAGCGGCCGAUGCCUGAUUAGCUAGUUGGUGGGGUAAAAGCCCACCAAGGCGACGAUCAGUAGCUGGUCUGAGAGGACGAUCAGCCACACUGGGACUGAGACACGGCCCAGACUCCUACGGGAGGCAGCAGUGGUGAAUUUUGGACAAUGGGGGCAACCCUGAUCCAGCAAUGCCGCGUGAGUGAAGAAGGCCUUCGGGUUGUAAAGCUCUUUUGUCAGGGAAGAAACAGCAGCUCUAACACAGUUUGCGAAUGACGGUACCUGAAGAAUAAGCACCGGCUAACUACGUGCCAGCCGCCGCAGUAA